UACGGGAGGCAGCGGUGGGGAAUAUUGCACAAUGGGCGAAAGCCUGAUGCAGCUAUGCCGCGUGUAUGAAGAAGGCCUUAGGGUUGUAAAGUACUUUCAUCGGGGAGGAAAAAACAAAACUAAUAAUUUUAUUUCUUGACGUUACCCGAAAAAGAAGCACCGGCUAACUCCGUGCCAGCAGCCGCGGUAAUACGGAGGGUGCUAGCGUUAAUCAGAAUUACUGGGCGUAAAGAGCACGUAGGUGGUUUUUUUAAGUCAGAUGUGAAAUCCCUGGGCUUAACCUAGGAACUGCAUUUUGAAACUGAAAUACUAGAGUAUCGUAGAGGGAGGUAGAAUUCUAGGUGUAGCGGUGAAAUGCGUAGAUAUCUGGAGGAAUACCUGUGGCGAAAGCGGCCUCCUAAACGAAUACUGACACUGAGGGUGCGAAAGCGUGGGGAGCAAACAGGGAUUAGAUACC
rnacentral:rRNA from 1 species